AUUGAACGCUGGCGGCAUGCCUUACACAUGCAAGUCGAACGGUAACAGGUCUUCGGAUGCUGACGAGUGGCGAACGGGUGAGUAAUACAUCGGAACGUGCCUAGUAGUGGGGGAUAACUACUCGAAAGAGUGGCUAAUACCGCAUGAGAUCUACGGAUGAAAGCAGGGGAUCGCAAGACCUUGUGCUACUAGAGCGGCCGAUGGCAGAUUAGGUAGUUGGUGGGAUAAAAGCUUACCAAGCCGACGAUCUGUAGCUGGUCUGAGAGGACGAUCAGCCACACUGGGACUGAGACACGGCCCAGAAUCCUACGGGAGGCAGCAGUGGGGAAUUUUGGACAAUGGGCGCAAGCCUGAUCCAGCAAUGCCGCGUGCAGGAUGAAGGCCUUCGGGUUGUAAACUGCUUUUGUACGGAACGAAAAGCCCUGGGUUAAUACCCUGGGGUCAUGACGGUACCGUAAGAAUAAGCACCGGCUAACUACGUGCCAGCCGCCGCGGUAAGAC
rnacentral:rRNA from 1 species